rnacentral:rRNA from 1 species
GGAAUCUUGCGCAAUGGGCGAAAGCCUGACGCAGCAACGCCGCGUGCGGGAAGAAGGCUUUAGGGUUGUAAACCGCUUUCAGCAGGGAAGAAAAUGACGGUACCUGCAGAAGAAGGUGGGGCCAACUACGUGCCAGCAGCCGCGGUGACACGUAGGCACCAAGCGUUGUCCGGAUUUAUUGGGCGUAAAGAGCUCGUAGGCGGUUCAGUAAGUCGGGUGUGAAAACUCUGGGCUUAACCCAGAGCCGCCACCCGAUACUGCUGUGACCUGAGUCCGGUAGGGGAGCGGGGAAUUCCUGGUGUAGCGGUGAAAUGCGCAGAUAUCAGGAGGAACACCGGUGGCGAAGGCGCCGCUCUGGGCCGAGACUGACGCUGAGGAGCGAAAGCAUGGGUAGCAAACAGGAUUAGAUACCCUGGUAGUCCAUGCCGUAAACGUUGGGCACUAGGUGUGGGCAUCAACCAACGAUGUCCGCGCCGUCGCUAACGCAUUAAGUGCCCCGCCUGGGGAGUACGGUCGCAAGACUAAAACUCAAAGGAAUUGACGG